rnacentral:rRNA from 1 species
GACGAACGCUGGCGGCGUGCCUAACACAUGCAAGUCAACUUGACUGAAGGAGCAAUCUGACAGUAGAGUGGCGCAAGGGUGCGUAACGCGUAAGUAACUUGCCCCAAGGUAAGGAAUAACGUCGAGAAAUCGGCGCUAAUACCUCAUAAUGCAGCGGAUCCGCAUGGAUAUGUUGUUAAAGGUUUACCGCCUUGGGAUAGGCUUGCGUCUGAUUAGCUAGUUGGUGUGGUAACGGCACACCAAGGCUACGAUCAGUAACUGGUCUGAGAGGAUGAUCAGUCACACUGGAACUGAGACACGGUCCAGACUCCUACGGGAGCAGCAGUGA